AGAGAGAGACAUGCGCGCAUAUCAAUAAGCGGAGGAAAAGAAACUAACAAGGAUUCCCCUAGUAACGGCGAGUGAAGCGGGAAGAGCUCAAAUUUGAAAUCUUAAAGGGUUUCCCUCUACGAAUUGUAGUUCAAAGAAGUGUUUUCUGUUGAGGUUUUGGUAAAAGUUCUUUGGAAUAGGACAUCAUAGAGGGUGAGAAUCCCGUAUUUGACCUUUACUUUCAACUUUGUGAUACACUUUCAAAGAGUCGGAUUGUUUGGGAAUGCAGUCCAAAAUGGGUGGUAAAUUUCAUCUAAAGCUAAAUAUUGGCGAGAGACCGAUAGCGAACAAGUACCGUGAGGAAAGAUGAAAAGAACUUUGAAAAGAGAGUUAAACAGUACGUGAAAUUGUCAAAAGGGAAGCGUUUGACACCAGUGUUGUUUUUCUGAAAAUCAAUUAAAGAACUGUUUAUGCUAAGUUGUUUAGACUUUAUCAGCUAACUGUUUAGUUUUGAGCUUUUCUUUAAUGCACUUUUCAGUUAACAAGUCAACAUCAAUUUCUUUUGCUGUAAAAAAGCUUGAGGAAGGUGGCUUGAGAUUCGUCUUAAGUGUUUAUAGCCUCUUGCCUAUGCAGUCGGAGAGAUUGAGGUCUGCAGCGUAGAUCCUUCGGGGCUAAAUGCAUUUGUGCUAAGUUAUAGCAUUUUAUAGACAACUUGUUGACUAUGAUUUGUCUUGUAGCUUACUCGCUUAUGUUAUUUUACCUACGCUUAGGAUGUUGAGCGCAUGUCUCUCUCU
rnacentral:rRNA from 1 species